rnacentral:tRNA from 1 species
GCCUGGGUGGCUCAGUCAGUUAAGCGUCUGACUUUAGCUCAGGUCAUGAUCUUGCAGUCCGUGAGUUCGAGCCCCACAUCGGGCU